CCCCUAAAUUGUGAGCGUUAGCUCCUUUUUGAUGCUGGGGUGAGAGGAACAAAGUAGAAGACGAUGUGGAAAGCUGAUCCUAGGGGUGGCACAUGUGGUGUGCUGUGCAAUGCUGGCGUAUGCACAAAAGAUUAUUUCAACGAUGUGAGACAAAAAAGAAGACGCGUGGAGGAGAAGGGAACACGGAAUUCCUUCGUUGCCCAUUGAAAGGUCUUGAUCCUUUUGGAGAUGGAGUGUAAUUGAAGUUUGCAAGAACAGGAGCACUUCACCCUACUGAGGUUAAAGGGACUGUGGGGCUGCACUGUCUGGUACCAUUAUCUCCACUCGGCAGUGUUCCUGGGGAUUACAGAGGAGUCUACACGAAUGCUCUAGACCUGCUUUUGCCCGGUUUGAAGACCAGCUGCUUCUGAUCUUGUGGGGAAUCCUCUCAUUUGCAAAUGUGGGGGACCAUCUUGACCAAUUAACCAUGAAAAAACAAUAGGCUUCUCACAUCCAAGCCCUUUUUUUCAUGGAAGCCGGAAUAUCGGCUUCAACAUGGCAUAGGGAACAAGCCAACCAGUCCUCAACCCAUCGGCCAUAAACUUGUGUUGCAGACAUUUCAACAACCAUGUAAAACAAGAGCCCUGGUUUUGGUUUAUUAGAAGCUGUUUUCAGAGAAGUAUGUGUGAAGAGACGAAAUCAAUUUUAGGGUGUUGCAGAUAAGGUCACAUUAAUGUAAAAAUGAGAUUUCAAACAUUAUCCAGGAAUUCUUAUAUGGCUUUAUAUAUAUAUAUGUGGAGCCUUUUGGUUCUCACACUAGUUAUUUUACCACAAGAGUUAAAUUCUUGUAAAUUCUGGUAAUAUUCCAGGCUUACUCUGAAGCCUUAAUUCUUAAGUGUAAUGUAAUUUUGUGCCAAAUAAAUAUUUUUAAUGAAACAU